rnacentral:rRNA from 1 species
GAUCGAUGGCUCAGGAUGAACGCUAGCGACAGGCUUAACACAUGCAAGUCGAGGGGCAGCAUGAGGUAGCAAUACCUUGAUGGCGACCGGCGCACGGGUGAGUAACGCGUAUGCAACCUGCCCGAUACCGGGGUAUAGCCCAUGGAAACGUGGAUUAACACCCCCAUAGUACUUUUAUCCUGCAUGGGUAUGUGAGUUAAAUGUUCAAGGUAUCGGAUGGGCAUGCGUCCUUA